rnacentral:rRNA from 1 species
GACGAACGCUGGCUGCGUGCCUAAUACAUGCACGUAGGACGCAGUUGCGAACGGGUGAGUCACGCGUAGGUAACUACUUAUUAGAGGGGGAUAACUAUUGGAAACGAUAGCUAAUACCGCAUACUAGUAGAUGGCCCCGCGUUGUAUUAGCUAGUAGGUAGGGUAAUGGCCUACCUAGGCAACGCUAAGUAGCCGACUUGAGAGGUUGAGCGGCGACACGGGGACUGAGAGACGGCCCAGACUCCUACGGGAGGCAGCAGUAGGGAAUCGUAGGCAAUGGGGGGAACCCUGACCAGGCAACGCCGCGUGAGUGAAGAAGGUUUUCGGAUCGUAAAGCUCUGUUGUUAAGGAAGCGGUACUUAACCAGAAAGGGACGGCUAACUACGUGCCAGCAGCCGCGGUAAUUC